rnacentral:rRNA from 1 species
GAUGAACGCUGGCGGUGUGCCUAAUACAUGCAAGUCGAGCGAACAGACGAGGAGCUUGUUCUUCUGACGUUAGCGGCGGACGGGUGAGUAACGCGUGGAUCGCCCACUUAUAAGUCUGGGAUAAUUUCGGGAAACCGGUGCUAAUACUGGAUAACAUGUCCAACCGCAUGGUUCAACAGUGAAUGACGCUCUUGCUGUCACUUAUAGACGGAUCCGCGCCGCAUUAGCUAGUUGGUAAGGUAACGGCUGACCAAGGCAACGAUGCGUAGCUGACCUGAGAGGGUGAUCAGCCACACUGGAACUGAGACACGGUCCAGACUCCUACGGGAGGCAGCAGUGGGGAAUCUUCAGCAAUGGGCGAAAGCCUGACGGAGCAAACCCGCGUGAGUGAAGAAGGUCUUCGGGUCGUAAAACUCUGUUAUUGGGGAAGAACAGAUGUGUAAGUAACUAUGCACGUUUUGACGGUACCUAAUCAAAAAGCCACGGCUAACUACGUG